GAUGAAGAACGUAGCGAAAUGCGAUAAGUAAUGUGAAUUGCAGAAUUCAGUGAAUCAUCGAAUCUUUGAACGCAUCUUGCGCUCCUUGGUAUUCCGAGGAGCAUGCCUGUUUGAGUGUCAUUCAACUUGUCAACCACUUUGGAAGUUGUUUUUCAAUGUGGCUUGGAUGUGGGGGAUUUGCAGGCUUUUCUUCUGUCUGCUCUCCUGAAAUGCAUUAGUGGUGUCUUAAAGGGUUCACAACCACAGGUGUGAUAAAUUAUCUAUGCCUUUGGUAUGAACAGAACUGUGCUGCUUCUAAAUGAAAUGAGUCCUUGCAGGCUCUUUCUUUUGAUGAAUUUGACCUCAAAUCAGGUAGGACUACCCGCUGAACUUAAGCAUAUCAAUAAGCGGAGGA
rnacentral:misc_RNA from 1 species